rnacentral:rRNA from 1 species
CACUCCUACGGGAGGCAGCAGUGGGGAAUAUUGCACAAUGGGCGCAAGCCUGAUGCAGCCAUGCCGCGUGUAUGAAGAAGGCCUUCGGGUUGUAAAGUACUUUCAGCGGGGAGGAAGGCGAUAAGGUUAAUAACCUUGUUGAUUGACGUUACCCGCAGAAGAAGCACCGGCUAACUCCGUGCCAGCAGCCGCGGUAAUACGGAGGGUGCAAGCGUUAAUCGGAAUUACUGGGCGUAAAGCGCACGCAGGCGGUCUGUCAAGUCGGAUGUGAAAUCCCCGGGCUCAACCUGGGAACUGCAUUCGAAACUGGCAGGCUAGAGUCUUGUAGAGGGGGGUAGAAUUCCAGGUGUAGCGGUGAAAUGCGUAGAGAUCUGGAGGAAUACCGGUGGCGAAGGCGGCCCCCUGGACAAAGACUGACGCUCAGGUGCGAAAGCGUGGGGAGCAAACAGGAUUAGAUACCCGGGUAGUCCCAUGAU